UAGAGUUUGAUCCUGGCUCAGGACGAACGCUGGCGGUGCGCCUUAUGCAUGCAAGUCGAGCGAAGCUUUUCAGUAGUUUACUACAGAAAAUGACUGAGCGGCGAACGGGUGAGUAACGCGUGAGCAAUCUACCUUAGUUACAGGGAUAGCCCGAGGAAACUCGGAUUAAUACCUGAUAUUCUUUAUAUUUCGCAUGAAAUUAAAAGGAAAGGUCAGCCGAACUAAGAUGAGCUCGCGUUCUAUCAGCUAGUUGGUGAGGUAAAAGCUCACCAAGGCUACGACGGAUAGCUGGUCUGAGAGGACGAUCAGCCACACUGGGACUGAGACACGGCCCAGACUCCUACGGGAGGCUGCAGCAGGGAAUAUUGCGCAAUGAGCGAAAGCUUGACGCAGCGACACCGCGUGUGGGAUGACGGAUCUAGGUUUGUAAACCACUUUCAGGAGGGAAGAAAAUGACGGUACCUCCACAAGAAGCCCCGGCCAACUACGUGCCAGCAGCCGCGGUAAUACGUAGGGGGCGAGCGUUGUCCGGAUUUAUUGGGCGUAAAGAGCUCGUAGGCGGUUCAACAAGUCGGUCGUGAAAGUUCAGGGCUCAACCCUGAAAUGUCGAUCGAUACUGUUGUGACUAGGAUACGGUAGAGGUGAGUGGAAUUCCGAGUGUAGCGGUGAAAUGCGUAGAUAUUCGGAGGAACACCAAUUGCGAAGGCAGCUCACUGGGCCGCUAUCGACGCUGAGGAGCGAAAGCUAGGGGAGCAAACAGGAUUAGAUACCC
rnacentral:rRNA from 1 species